CGACAGAACACCGGCAGCAGGACAUGAACGGAGCCCGGCUGGUUUAAACGGGCAUGUCUUUAUACGCAGGACCUGCUGAUGUCUCGAUGUCUUGCUGCUGUGGGCUGAUGUACUGAUGAAGCUGUCUAUACCCGAAUCUCCUCCGCCGAGGAUGAAUGUUUUCCCACUCUAAGUCUUCUCCUGCCCCUAGUGUGGACUUUGCUUCUCCACAAACAACCAGUCAGAGGAUUACAUAAAGAACAGUUUUAAACUCCUGAAAGAGGUUGAUCACAAGAUAUCCAAAAGAUAAGAAAUUAUGAAGCCAAGUCCAGGAAAGGAGAAAACUCAUCACUGUUUAGAUUGUGGAAAAAGCUUUACUAUACAAAACGAUCUUAAAAAACACCGGCGUAUUCACACAGGAGAGAAACCGUAUCUCUGUUCGGACUGUGGGAAGAGUUUUACUUUACAAAGUACUCUUAAAACACACCAGCGCAUUCACACAGGAGAGAAACCUUUUCACUGUUCAGACUGUAAGAAGAGUUUUGCUCAACAGUGUGUCCUCAGAAAACACCAGCGCAUUCACACUGGAGAGAAACCGUAUCACUGUUCAGACUGUGAGAAGAGUUUUAAUCAGCUGUGUACUCUCCAAGUACACCAGCGCAGUCACACAAAAGUGAAACCAUAUUACUGCUCAGAGUGUAAGAAAUAUUUUAUUACACAGAGUGAGCUCAACAAACACCAGCGCAUUCACACUGCAGAGAAACCAUAUUACUGCUCAGACUGUGGCAAGAGUUUUAUUCAGAGAAGUGGUCUAAAAACACACCAGCGCAUUCACACAGGAGAGAAACCGUAUGACUGCUCAGAGUGUGGCAGGACUUUUACUCAAAAGAGUGGUCUAAUAAACCACCAGCGCAUUCACACAGGAGAGAAACCAUUUCACUGCUUAGACUGCAUGAAGAGUUUUAAAUUACUGUGUACUCUCCAAGUACACCGGCGCAUUCACACAGGCGUGAAACCAUAUCACUGCUCAGAAUGUGAGAAGAGCUUUCGGCAUUCAAAUUCAUUUAAGGGACACAAGUGCACUGAGAGCAGUAACAGAAAUUUGCAAUAACACUUCUUUAACCAUCUUAGGUCACAGAUCUGGGGCCCACACAAAGAGCAUGACAGAAAUAAUAAUCAACUAAUCUGCAAAAUAAUCCACAGAUUAGUCAACAACCAAAUUAAUAUAAGCUGUGAUAAAUUUACAGAUAGGUAAUAAUAUCAGAUAUGCAGAUCUAUAGACUGACUAGACUUAUUAAUAGGACCACAUAUUGUUAAUGUAACUUUGACAAGUCAUAUGUUUCCAUUGUUUUACACAUGAGGCUGAAGUUUGAUAUUCGCAGCUCCAGAUUUGUUUGGCUCUAUAUUUGCAGCCUCGUAUUCCCCGGCUGAAGCUGGUUUGAUUUUCGCAGCAACUGCUUCACUGAACGGAAUUACUUUUGCUGUCAGGUGGAGAAAGGCUAUUUUGGUUUCAGGGAAUAUUUAAAAUUGCAGGGUGCAAAAUCAUUUGCCACCUAUUCAUUCCUGUUGGGGGAACCAGCAAAAUCCAAUGCUAAUUACACACAUCACAAAAUUAGAUUAACAAGUCUGCAGUUUGAAUGAUGUAUGAAGUAGUGUAAGUCAAAGUGAUGACUUCAGCCUCCAAAUGGGAAAUUUGUUGUUUAACAAAAGACGGGCUCAUCACCUAGGACAGCAGAGAGCAUGAAGAUCCCUGAUUCAUUUGAUACAACUACUAUUAAAGGAAUUAAAUUAUUCUUUUAGCCAUCAACAUUCUGAUGGGCUUAAAUAUAUAUAUAUAUAUAUAUAUAUAUAUAUAUAUAUAUAUAUAUAUAUAUAUAUAUAUAUAUAUAUAUAUCAAGAUCUUUGUAAUCUCAUACAAAAAUAAGGCUUGCACAAUUCCUUGUUGGCUGUGCAUCAACCAAACAAAGAAGUGAAUAUAUAUUUACCACAAAAACAGGGCUUGCAGCUUUUGAGGUUUUUGAAGGGAAGAGCAUGGGUGGUGUUGGUGGGGGGUGUCAGCGCACAGGUGUGUGCAGGGUUGCCAGUUUAAAACUCGCCCAUCAGAAGCUUAAACUAGCCCAAAUAUGUCACACGCUUAAAUCAAUGGCUUAGUAUUUUGUUUUUAUGGAAAUUUUAUCAGUGUUGCUAUUUUUAAAUUAGCAAAAAAGACCUGACCUCUACUCUUUAACAUUUUUUUCAUCGACUUGUGAUUUCUGGUUACAUUGUGAUCUCUCUCUCUCUCUCUCUCUCUCUCUACCUUUCCCUUUAUCUUUUCCAUUUGAGGCCUUCAGUACAGGGGUAAGGGAAGGCCUUGUAAAAUGAAGGGAGUAAUGGUCUAUUAGUAUGUCUGUGUAUUUUUUUUGUUUGGCAAGUACCCAGUAAAGAACGAGAUCAAAACAAA